CAGGCCGCGGCGUUGGGACGGGCGCGGCGGGGCCUGCGGGGCUUCGGAGAGGGGCCGGGACCCCCACCGCGUCGGCCCCCCGCCUCCACGCCCCCUCCCCCUCCCAACGUGCGGCUGCCUCCAGGGCGAGAGCAGGCGCGGGGAGACGGCGCAGCCUUCCCGAGCGAGCGGGCCGCGCCCACCGUAACACGGGGGCGAGAGGGCGGCGUUGAUUGGUCGAGAGCAGGACGUCGGCUGGCCAAUGGCGGCGGCGGAGCUGGAGCCGGGGAGGAAAAGGCAGGGAAGUGAAACGUGGAAAGUUGGGGAGGGGCGCGGGAGGGCGCACGCGCCUGGGGCUCCGGGGCGGUGGGGGCUGGGGGGCUGCCUGGGGUGGGAAGGGAGCGGAAAGCGGCUGCGGGCUGUUGGGUGGCGCGGCGGGGUGGGACUGCGGGGCGUGGGCUCUGGCGGGCGGCUGCCUCGGCCCGAUUGGCCUUUCCGUUUCUCGAGGCGAGAGGCUUGCAGAGGGUCGCAGCUUCCGAGUCGGGGGCGCCCCUCGGGGGACUCCCCUCAACCCCUCCAGUUCCUUCUGCUGGGCGCGAAGGCGCCUAAUGUCUGCAGGCCCCGCACGAAGACGUUUUUCUCUCUGCGAGAGCCCUCAGCCCUUUAAGAUAGAAAUCAUCCCCAUUUCACAGACCAGGAAACUUUAAAACUCUCUGAAGUCCGCUGCUAACCGUGACCAGCCAGGCCACCGGGGUUCAAACGCACACGUUUCGGAUUCCAAGACCGGGGUUCUCAACCGUGGCUGUAACAUCUGCCCCCACGCCCCCGCCCCCACCCGUGCCUGUGACUUUUCCUCCUGGCUCCGUCCUCCUUGGCUGGCCUUUUCCUCUCUCUCUUUCCUGGUCGUUGUCCCCUGCGGCAAUGACCAGCCCCGUGGGCCGGCUGGACUCAGCCACUCUCUCGGGCCGGGUUUUCCUGUUGUCUGCUGAACAUCACCCGAAUGGUCACUUCUGGCCAGGACCGAACUACCUUCUCCCCCACAAGCAGACUUCUGCCCCUGCUGCCAGCCACGCGCCUGGGAAUCAGAUCUCCACUGUUCCCUCCACUGUCUGCAGCCCAGGGCAUGGCUUGGGACCCCUCCAGAGGCGCUGACGGCGUGACCCGAGCACCUAGGUCUGACUCUGCUGUGGCACUGCUGAAGAGGAUGCCUUGUACUUCAUUAUACCCACGCAAUAAACACACCCUGAUACGGGGUCACGAAGCUCUGGGAAGUUGGGGGCAUGCCCGUCUGUGGCUAGCCUCUGAAUUAGCCCCGGGAGUCAUGCCCACGUGUUCAGAUCACAGCUUCCCGGCUGCUAGGUGGUGUGGAUUUUCCCAUCGUAUGCAGCUGUCUCAUUUCCAGUCUCUCCGUCCUCUCGGUUCAUCAGUGACCGCUGGCUCCUUUUGUUGUUGUUGUUGUUCAGUCCUCUCUUUCUCCGUGUUUUUCCUGUUCUCACUCCUGGCCCAUUUCUGCUUCACCUCUGCCUUUCAUCUACUCACUCAUUUAACAUAGUUAUUAAGCACCUGUGGCAUAACCAGACAUUGGCAUGCAUCCCAAGAUCUGUGAAAUAGCAAAGAAUGGGGCAUGGAUACUAUUUUUACAGAACGUCUAAAACAAUUCCUGCAUUGUGCAAAUUACCUCCAGAAGGAUGCACCGAGAAUAAAAUAUCCACAUUCUUUUUGCCCAUCGUCUCAAACACUACUCACGAUGGCUGGCAUCCCAGGACACGCCUCCCAGAAAAUUCUGCAUGGUAGGGUGUGGUUGACCAGCUGGAGACAGGAAUUGGGUUCUACUCCUGGGCCCCCAUUAAUUUCCUGCAAAAACAGGCCUCUGUUUCUUCACCAAUAAAAUUCAGAAAUAGAGUGCAA